CAGUCUCGGUCGGUCGACCUGCCUCGUGCCAAUUUAUGGGCGUCAUCAGGCCGGAAGGUGUUUCCCGUGUUGAAGCCGCCACACAUGUCUUCCGUCUAGAUUGGCCGCUACUUAACUGUUUGACUGAGCUUCAGUCAACGCUGGAUCAUUGAGUUACCAAGAACUUGGAGAGGAGUGUGUCACAGGAGCGAAGUGUUUGUAAAUGUCGAGUGUUGGAGUUGUUUUCCUGUCACACCUGGACCACCAGCACAGUCCUGCAGGAUGGGAAAGUCCUGCAUUUGGGCCCCGUUCUCGCCACGCACCUUAACAUAAAUAAUAAACACUUUGAUUGAGAAA